AAUAGAAAAGUAAUAAUGUUUAGAAAGGUUAACCUCUAUUAUGGAAAUUAGAAUAUGGUAACUAGUACAUUCACGUCCUAUGUGCCUCAGAAUGAUUUAGUGAGUUAACUAGAGAAGAUAUCUAUGUGUCUGCCAUUGCUCCGACUUUUGCCUUUCAAGAGAUCUCCAAGUCUAUAGCCCUUUUGCCCUAACAAGAGAACAUUAAAUGCUGAGUGAUUGUCUUGUGUUUGAAGAUCACCCAUAAUGUUCAGAUUGAAGGAAUUUUGAUUGAAAAAUAAUAUUUAAUAUUGAUUAUGUGCUUCAGUGCCAGAUUAUUAUUCUAUUUUGCAUAUUUUAACUUUUCCAUCCAAACAUCUCCAAUGUAAACAGGUGUUCAUUGCGUGUUUCACAGCUUAUUAGUAACGAAUGAAAUUGCAGGAGUUAGAAUCUGCCGCUGGACCCAGAGCUGGACAUGUAACCACUCCAGCUCAGUGAUCUUACACUGCACUGAUUGUUUUAUUUUUCUUGACACAUGUAUCUUUCUGUGGCCCUCCUCUUGCCUGUCAUCAAUUACAAUGUAAGGUGUAGUGUGUUGGUGUCCAGGAGCCAGACACCCAUAAACUUCUUCCUUAAUAAGCCCUUCACCUCUGUGAACCUCAGCUUCUGAAUGUAAAAUUGAGAUUAUAAAAAUACAUCCCUUGUAGGAUUAUUCCAGGAUUAAAUGAGUUAUAGCAUGUGAUAAGUUUAGAAUAAAAUGUAAUACAUCUUAGCUCUUAGCUUUUGUUUUUUUUUUUUAAAGAAUGAAAGGAUAUUUUGCCUGAAUAGACAUGCUAAUGUGGAAGAGGGCGUCUCAUGAAGUCCCACCCUAGACAAAGGACUACAGGCAACUGAUGACUGCUAGAGUGGGAAAUUAGCCCCUCCCAGGAAUGAGCACUGAAUUCUUAUCCAAUACAAAGUGGUCAUCUCUGAAACCAAAGGACUCAGGAGAUUGCAUCAUGUGUUGUGCAUCUAUCUGUACUCAUAUGUAAUAAUAAAGAGGCCAUCAGCUUGAAAGUCAGGGAGCGAUGUGGGAAGCACUGGAGGGAGGGGACAUGGAAGGGGCUGGAGGGAGGAAAGGAAAGGGGAAGUAAUAUAAUCAUGUUUUAAUUAAAAUGUAUGUGAUAUCUAUUCUUGGUUGCCCACUUGCCUGCAUCAGGAAUUAAAUAAAAUGUAUAGGGUAUACCUGUAAGGGAUUUUUCUUGAUCAAAUCAUUUAAAAUAGGAAGACCCACCCUAAAUCUGGAUUUUUUUUAAGUGGGAAGAUCCACCCUUAAUCUGGGCCACACCUGCUGGUGGCAACCUUUAUAAAGGACGCGGAAGAGGGAAGCUUGCUCUUUCCCUGGUUGCCCUCACUCUCGCUGACAAGUCCAUUUUUUCACUGACACUAGAGUCUACUUCUUCAGCAUUCUGAUGUCUACGGAAGCCCAGCUGAGACACUCAGCCUUGUGGACUGAACAACUGCUAGAUUCUUGGACUUUCCGUUGAGAAACAGCCUGUGUUGCAAUUGUCAGAUCAUAGCCUCAUUUGCUGAGGAUCUGUCUGGUUAACAGCUCAGAACUGAACUCACAGAAAACGUUAAAAGAAAAACUGAAGGAGGAAAUUUCUCAAGAUAUAGACAAUGCAUUGAGGGGAUGAAAGAGACAAAGUCUUCUACUGUCAUGGACUGGCGCAUGUCAAUGAGGUAACAAAUAGAUGUGUUGUUUCAUGAAAAGGAAAAAUGGAUACAAUUUGGAAGGUCUCCUCAGGGACACACCAUGUUUGCUGAGCUCUGACAAGUGAGUGGCCGCACUGCGCUCAGCAUUUUGCAUUAGUUUUAUUAUUCCACAUUCUAGAGAAGCACACUGCCCUCAAGUCUAUUCUUAGCCAAGUGACUAGUACACCCAUUCUUCCACCAGAUACCUGAGAAAGGCUUAUAUCAAAUGCUGAGACUACGUCUGUGAAUAUAACAAGGCCAGGUCUGUCUCCUCCCCACAGAAGUUUCCAGACUAUUAAACAACUGUGCAGAUGUUUACACUGGUGGUAAACACAG